UACGAAGGGGACUAGCGUUGUUCGGAAUUACUGGGCGUAAAGCGCACGUAGGCGGAUACUUAAGUCAGGGGUGAAAUCCUGGAGCUCAACUCCAGAACUGCCUUUGAUACUGAAGAUCUUGAGUUCGGGAGAGGUGAGUGGAACUGCGAGUGUAGAGGUGAAAUUCGUAGAUAUUCGCAAGAACACCAGUGGCGAAGGCGGCUCACUGGCCCGAUACUGACGCUGAGGCACGAAAGCGUGGGGAGCAAACAGG
rnacentral:rRNA from 1 species